rnacentral:tRNA from 2 species
GGCCCCUUGGUCAAGCGGUUAAGACAUCGCCCUUUCACGGCGGUAACAGGGGUUCGAUUCCCCUAGGGGUCACCA